GCUCCGUCACACGGUCACUGGCAACCGCCAACUAUUCUCCUGUUGUUGUCUACUCUAUCCACCCCAAUCCAUAUAACUUCUCCCCUUUUUCUCCAAUUCUCUCCUCAAAUUCCUACCACCACCACCUCCGAAAUGGCGAUGACGCGUCGUCUCAUUUCUCAAACCCUAAUCUACCACCCCAAAUCAUCAUCUACCCUUCCCCUCUCCCCUCGAAUCCUUGCUCAACGGCACCGUUCCGGCAAACCCCGGGUCACCGCCCAACUCAUAGAAAUCGAGUUGGAUUCUUCUUCCUCUUCAGCUUCAUCUUCUUCCUCCUCCUCUUCCUCCUCCUCGUCCUCCGCGUCAUCGCCGCCGUCGUCGGCUGAUGUGGAGACCAUCAGCGGCGGGAUCAGGAAGCUGGAGGAGGUCAUACAGAACAUAAUCGUGCGCCGGUCCGCUCCCGAUUGGCUUCCGUUUCGACCUGGGUCUUCUUACUGGGUGCCACCUUCGAAUCUCCGGAACCAUCCCUACGGCGGUGUGGUGGAGGUCAUUGGGAAGCUAUCCACUGCUGCGCGGCUCCACAGUGAGGGUCAUCUUGGUCCCAGUCUGAGCCAGGGGAAAUCUACUUCGACUACUUUUGAGUUCGUGACUGACGAUGAAACGCCGGCUUUCCCGUCCUCUCGCGGUUGGCCCUCCACUUCUUAUUUCAUUGAAGGGAGUGCACCAACAUAUCCAGUGUCAAUGGAAGUGGAGAUGGAAGCAGAGGUGAAGGUUCCGGACAACUCAAAGGGUGGUUCUACAGAUGAGGAUGAGGAAGGGUAAUGACAUGUCCUACCUCAAGAGGUUUGUAAGAUGCAUGCAGGUGUUUCACUUACAAGUCACCUUUGGCGUUGCAUUUCUGGGGAAUUUAGAUACUAGAAGAAGCUCGCACUUUGGAGUUGUUUUUUUUCCUGUUAAAAGGGGAAAGGUUAGGAAAGAUGGGCUAGCUGCUGUAACACGGUCUUCACCAUUGGUACAUAUGCUAAACUUGGAAUGGCAAGAAAAAUCAGCUUUAUUGAGGAAAGGCAAGCAUGCGAAUUUGGAUGGUUGUAAAGAUGAAUCAAUGGUACUUCGGGGAUGAUGAUGUUCAUCAGAUAUUGGUCCUUUCAACUUCUUGCCUAUCCUUCUAUGUAGAGAAAAUAUUUAUGUAGAGAAAAUACUUAUGAUCCUACUCUGUUUUGUUUAAGAUCAACUUUGAUGAUGUAAUGUGUCUCACAUUGAAUGAGCUGAUGUUAUAUUUAUUACCUUGGUUUUUCUCUGCCUU